rnacentral:rRNA from 1 species
CUGGCUCAGGACGAACGCUGGCGGCGUGCUUAACACAUGCAAGUCGAACGGAAAGGCCCUUCGGGGUACUCGAGUGGCGAACGGGUGAGUAACACGUGGGUGAUCUGCCCUGCACUUUGGGAUAAGCCUGGGAAACUGGGUCUAAUACCGAAUAUUCCCUGUUGGUCGCAUGGCCUGGUAGGGGAAAGCUUUUGCGGUGUGGGAUGGGCA